rnacentral:rRNA from 1 species
GAUGAACGCUGGCGGCGUGCCUAAUACAUGCAAGUCGAGCGAACAGACGAGGAGCUUGCUCCUCUGACGUUAGCGGCGGACGGGUGAGUAACACGUGGAUAACCUACCUAUAAGACUGGGAUAACUUCGGGAAACCGGAGCUAAUACCGGAUAAUAUAUUGAACCGCAUGGUUCAAUAGUGAAAGACGGUUUUGCUGUCACUUAUAGAUGGAUCCGCGCCGCAUUAGCUAGUUGGUAAGGUAACGGCUUACCAAGGCAACGAUGCGUAGCCGACCUGAGAGGGGGCGGGGCCACACAGGAACUGAGACACGGUCCAGACUCCUCAGGGAGGCAGGAGGAGGGAAUCUUCCGCAAUGGGCGAAAGCUUGACGGCGCAACGGCGCGUGGGGAGUGAAGGUCUUCGGCUUGUAAAACUUUGUUAUUAGGGAAGAACAAAUUUGGAAAUAGCUUUGCACGUUUUGGGGGGACCCAAUAAGAAAGCCGCCGCUAAAUGCCA